ensembl:lncRNA
GGGGCAAGAACUGAUCGGAGGGGAAAAUUACAGUAAGAUGCUACAGCCUAAUACAUACCCGAGAAACACGAGACAGGAAGGGCAUCGUUUCCUACAGACCCUUAAGCCAACUCUGAUGUUCAUCUCAUGCUUGAACUUGAGCAGGAACAUCUGAGCUCAGGCCUCACUUUGACACCAUAUUGGGACCAGGUGCUCUGCUCUCAGAUGGAUGCCAUUAAUGCUCACAUUUCACUCAAGGAAAAAGAGAGGCAAAAACAUGAUAGGAACUCAGAUUCUCCAUCAGGUUUUCAGGGAACAAUCAGACUGCCUUCUUUGGCUAGAACUGAGACUCAGCUCUAGUAAGUACAGUCGACUCUCGUUAUUCACAGUAGCUAUGUUCUAUCGAGGCACCGCAGACACAAUUAGCAAAUACUGAACCACUGCUCCUGGGGGAAAUACAAGGUAAGGUUCCUGUGUGCCUCUGUCAUAACACUGUCGUCAACAACCAUUGAUUCACUGAACUCAUGGCCACCAGCACUGUAAGUCAUGCCAUAAUGAAGCGUAUCUAACGCACUCUCUCUGUAAGGCACAUGACAGCCUUACUACACUUAGUUAACUCUAGCCAGCACCUCAGCACUAUGCGGGUAGGGGCCAUUUAAUUUAUUUAUUUUCAAAUAUUUAUUGUAUUUAUUUGGCUGCACAUGUCUUAGUUGUGGCACGGGGGAUCUUUUUUUUUUUUUUUUUCAGUUGUGGCAUGUGGGAUCUAGUUCCCUGACCAGGGAUCGAACCCAGGCUCCCUGCAUCGGGAGCAUGGAGUCUUAGCCACUGGACCAUCAGGGAAGUCCGGGGGGGGCAUUUUAAACACUGAAACCACCACCAACAAGCAAGAAAUGAGGCAUUAGGUACACCUUGGAUAGGGCACUCAUUUAGAGUGUGAGAGCCGAAACCAGGAGGCAGGAUGUCGCCUUGUUCAGCCUCAGCUGGGAAGGUACGUGUCAGGCGACUCACAUUUUUCACUGCUCUAAGCAUGUUUGCAAACGAUUGUAAAAACACUGCAAGUAUUGAUUUUAGGAUUACAGAUACAUUUUAGUAAGUGAAUUCGCAAAUACAGAAUCUGCAAAUAAUGAGGAUCAGCUGCCUCAGUAACUGGCUAACGCGCAGGCCUGUAAUGUUAGCCUGUCUCCCUACCCGAGCAUGUCCACUGACCUGUCCAGUGAGCACUUCAGACACUGUUGCUAUCAUGGGCUCCUCCUCCUCCACAAUCUGAGGUUACUCUCUUGGCUACUUGAUCUGUGGCCCUAGAAAAAUAAGUUAACUUCUAUGCCUCAGUUACUCUAGCUAUGGAACAGUUAUAAUAAACACUAACUUAACUCCUAGGCUUGUCCUACGGGUGAAAAUACGUGAAAAGAUUAAAUGCCACAAAAUGUAAGAUCUAAUAAUUAUGUUACUAAGUACAAAUUUUUCACUUGGCCUUUUAGACUUUCCAUUUGGCUAUUCUCUCCCUGCCCGAGAUUCUCAUUUUUCUAAUUCCCCAGCGAAAACCGCAAAACCAGCCUGCUUGCCAUGCUCUACACAUGAUUCAUGAGUUCCCUCUUCUAACUAAACCUUUAUGCAGUCUAUUUUCCUGGCUUGAAGUGUCCCUCCCCUCUGCUAUCCCAGGCUCUCUACAUUUCUAAAUAAAUAAAACUUGAACACAAGU